rnacentral:rRNA from 1 species
AUUGAACGCUGGCGGCAGGCCUAACACAUGCAAGUCGAACGGUAACAGGAAACAGCUUGCUGUUUCGCUGACGAGUGGCGGACGGGUGAGUAAUGUCUGGGAAACUGCCUGAUGGAGGGGGAUAACUACUGGAAACGGUAGAUAAUACCGCAUAACGUCGCAAGACCAAAGAGGGGGACAUUCGGGCCUCUUGCCAUCGGAUGUGCCCAGAUGGGAUUAGCUAGUAGGUGGGGUAACGGCUCACCUAGGCGACGAUCCCUAGCUGGUCUGAGAGGAUGACCAGCCACACUGGAACUGAGACACGGUCCAGACUCCUACGGGAGGCAGCAGUGGGGAAUAUUGCACAAUGGGCGCAAGCCUGAUGCAGCCAUGCCGCGUGUAUGAAGAAGGCCUUCGGGUUGUAAAGUACUUUCAGCGGGGAGGAAGGGAGUAAAGUUAAUACCUUUGCUCAUUGACGUUACCCGCAGAAGAAGCACCGGCUAACUCCGUGCCAGCCGCCGCCGUAA